AGGGCUUUGGUUGGGUUGUUUUUUCUGGUGUUCGCGGGUGAUGAGCGGCGUGGGCAGGAGGCGGAUCCCGAGCUUGGGACCAUUCCUAAAGAGCUCGCCUCGCGUGAGGUGAAAGCUGAACCCUCGCAGCGCGGCGUUUGCUCUGCGCUGCUGCGCGGAUGGCAUCGCUGGCUGGCUGGCUGAAUCCAAAGCCUCGGGAGAUGUACGCUUGUAAAUCCUUAAACUGAAGUGGCCUCUGCCCCCACGACUGGAAAAACUCUAGCCAACUUUAUGACAGAAGAAAAGAAGCAAAAAAGGCUGAUACAUGAUUCCCAGGUUCCAGAGGAUGUUUUAGACAUUGUGGUCUGCAAACAGAUCUACCAGUCUGUUGAUCUGGACUAAGUCAUCCUUCACAGGAAAAUAAUUUACCAGGACUCAGUGGGCAGCAAUCCUUUUGAGAGCGCUUACCUCGAAGAGCCAAGAUAUUCCAAAGACUUGUGUCGUGAAUGUGUGUUUUAGGGUUGCUUAAAGAAUCACUGGCAAAGGUAUUGGCAAAAGCAGGGUUAGUGUAAAAGCAAAAGCAUUACAAAGUUCGUUGCUAAGGUUCACCCUACUACUUACUAGAUGGUUAAAGCACACAGAGAAAAAGCAAAGAAAAAUCUAAACCCCUUCAAUCUACGACCAAAAUCAAUCCAAAUAUUACCUGUGAGAAGGCUUGCGGGCUGAGGGAGGGGGGGAGGGAGGAGGAAAAGAAAGGGUAGGAAAGGAUAAGGAUCAAAAGAAAAAAGGAAUAAAGAAGGACUUGCUGUUGACUCACAAGGUGUGGAGUAGACCCUCUUGCUAAAUGGAGCCUAGGAAAUUUUUGGCAUAAAGGUUUAACAGCACUUAAACUUAACAGCACUUAAUGUAUAGCUUAAGUUAAACAAUUGAACAAAGGAUUCAUACAGAAUUUACUAUAGCACCACAGUAACUCACAGGCCUAACUUACUUACAAAUCUAAAAUACUAAGAAUCCAGGAGAGUAACAUUCACAGCACAUUUGAUAUGGCAUGUUAACUCUAGCAUGCAUGCAGACCUCAAGGAUGUUUAAGAGAUACACUUCUGAAAAAAUUCCCAUUCAGUUCAGGGAAGUACUCGCGUCAGAUGCGUUUGCAUCUUCUCAGUGGGUGAAGGGGUGAGUCUGGAGGACAGGGCGUAUUACCAGCAUUGCUGUUUGGUGAUCCUCUGAGUACAGCAGACCUGAGAGUUCGCUGGCUCUGAGAGGCCCCACUCACAGGCAAGAAGCUUCUGUAGUCCAGCAGAGCUCCAAGGCUCUCACUUUGGACCAUGGUUUAUAGGGUUAAAACAGAGUGAGCUUUGGUCAUAAUAACUUUUUCAUCCUGGCUGCAAUCCUAGUAGGUAACUUUCUUCAAAAAGUAUUAUUCCCCUUGGGCUGUUUUUCAGGCAUGAAAAAUAAAUUUCCACUGUUUGUUAAAAACCAGGAGACAGCACUAGUUCCUGGGAACAGUGUUUCCAAUAAGCUCAAGAAAAGCUGAGCUCAGGUGCUUUUCGUCAAGGCUGAAGCCUAAUGAGCAUUUCUCAGAUCAUAGUUUGGCCUGAGUGGGGCAGGGGAGGUACCGCCACAAGUUUUCAGGACAUGGCACUCUGCUUGAGCUGGUCCAGGUUUCACUGGACAAGAACUAGCAGUACUACCCAAAUCCCACUUCAACACGUGUCCAGUGGAGACAUUUUAAGAACACAUUAAGGAGGUUUAGUGGAACUGACAUGUCUCUAGACUUUCUUUAUUUUUUAAAGUAGACAAAUAUUUUCAGAAAAUUCAUUUAAAUAUAAAUGGGCUGUGAGAAUAAAAUUGUAUAGGAUAUUUUUCUAAAAGAUGGAACGUUUUUCUUAGAAUUCUGAGAAACUGAAAUUUGUCUAGAGCACAUUGGCAAUGACUCAUGGGAUGCAGCAAAAAGGGACUCUGACACAAACUUCUCUGCCACUAAGAAUGCAUUUAGGUGACAGCAAAGUUGGUGCAUUUGCAGCAUGGUGCAAUGCUGAGGGUGAAAUCUGCUAGGAGUCAAAACACUAUGCACAAAGUAUGGUAAAGGGAGAUUGGUGGAGGCUGAAAUCUGUUUUGUCUCCACAGAAGUUCAGCUAGAUACUGCUUUGAGAGUCAGCUCUCAGUUUUCGGGUAGGUUUUUUUUGUUGUUGUUGUUGUUUUUGUUGGGUUUGGUUGGUUGGUUGGUUGGUUGGGGGGUUUUUUGGGUUUGGUUGUUGGGUUAUUUUUGGUUUGGUGGUUUUGGGGUUUUUUUUGGUCAGUUAGUGUAUGAUGACAUUUCAGUGUUCCAGUAGUUGACAAGGGAAGAAAAGACUGUUUCUUACCCACUAUACACUGCCUUUGCCUCAAUGGUCUUUUUUGCCUUCCAGUUCCUUCUAUGGUGAAUUCAAAUUUUUCAAUCAUGUAGCACCAGCCAGGUCAAAGAGAGAAGUUCAUUUUGCAUCGUGGGAAAUGGUAUUUGGAGAGCCUUGGCUGAAAUGGAUGCCUGACAUAGAAUUUCCAUAAUGCAUUAUAGGACCUGGGAAAUGCUAGUUAAUAUUUUUUUAUGUCAAAAGGACCUUUCCUUUUUGGUGCAUUAUAAGAUAUAUGAGUCAGAUAGACCAACAAUUAAAUGUUUAAUUUUGACUUUAUGUACGAAAAACAGGUUUCCUGUGGAAAAUUCACAAUGAGCUUUAGUAUUAAUAUUACUUAAGCAACUGUUUAUUCACUAAACAUGUAGAACUGUGCUAGCUCUAGUAAAUUUUUAAAAAAAAAUUGAAUCCAAGAGCCUUCAGGAAGACAAAUAUUUCAGUAGAAACUGGUGAUCAAGCAUCAGUUAUGUUCUUUCUAGUUGAAAUUCAUAAGGAACUUAUUUGUAAAGACUAGAUACGAUUUCUGUCAUAGAUAUGUUUAUAUUAAGAGCAUUGUGAGGAGUUACACUGAAUGGAAAAGAGUUUCCCAUGUCAACCAUAAACAUACAAAAACCAAUGAAUCACAGGCUUUCCUUUCCCCCCUGCUCACAGUCCUUACAUACAGGAUCCAGUUGUUCCAAAUUUUGUUCUUGAAGCAUUUGUAGACAUUACUUCCUUAACAAUUACUUAGUCUAAAAAUGUUUAUAACUAGAAACUUAUGUUUUCAGGCAAUAAACCAGUUCUGAGCUGUUAUUCAGUCAGUUCCAUAGAUGAUAUCUCCCUAGUUUCAUUCUCAAAUGUGGAUCGAUUUAUACACCUUGACGUACUUUGUUGUCACAAUUCUGUCUUGCAAGCAAGACAAUACUCCCUUGUGUAGAGAUAUGCCAGUUGUAUGUUAAAAGUCAUCUGCAUAGUUUAAAAACAAUAGCAGACAAGGAUAAAGGAUUUUAGUAGUCAAUAAUCCUAUGUUACUUCUGUAAAACAGAGAAAAUGCUGUGGAUAGCAGGUAGGGCCUUCUCCAUUUCUGCUCACAGAAGCAGAGAACUUAGGUGAUACUUCAAAAAAUUGUUAAAAAUAGAAGCCCAGACUUAAAUGCUUGACAUGAACCAGGAAGGAAAAGUGGUCAUACUGACAGAUGUCAUAGUUCUUACAGUCUGCUCCAUGUGAAGGAAUAAUGUUGUGUAUUUCAUUGUCUGAUGACAAACACUUCAUUGCUCUUCACAGCACUGAAGAAUAAAGCACCACAAAUACUUUUUGAGGCUGCUAGGUAGUUAUUAUCAUCAUUGUUUUCAGAUGCAAAAAACAUCCCAAGUUUAUUAACGGUCUAAGACAGAGCUAGGAAAAGAACUCAAAAUUCUUGAAUUCCAGUCCUUUGAGUUAACGAGAUGACCUUUUCAAGACCAUAUCUCCUGUUUCUGGUGUUUUAUUAGUACACAGCUGAAGAAAGAAAAGGGUUGGUUUGGUAUAGUUCAUUACUUCAGACUUUUCCUGUUAAGUCUGAAUCUCCUGAAGGUAAUGUGUGGGCUGACGUGUUUAUCCUGUGUUACUGAAUGAACAUCAGGAGAAAAACACUGGUGAAGAAAUAGUAAAGACUUUUAAAAAGAACUUGCUUCAAAAAUUCUGGUUUCAGUAGCUCUUGUGAACCAAAGUAACAGUGUGAUCAAAGUCUGUGAGUUACUACACCACAGAUUCUAAGCAAGCAGCAUGUGCAAUUGAGCCUCCUGUUAUGUGUCCAGGAAAUUCCUUUCUCAGUGCUGUAAGUGUAAUGUUACAAGACUUUGCAUCUGGAAAUUCCGAAUUUUAUUACUGCUUAAUGAAGACUAAGUAUUUUUUAUUACUGCUUAAUGAAGACUGAGUAUUUUCACAGAUCCCAUCAUCAGUUCUGCUCAGGCUGUUGUAUGACAGCUUUCCACAUGGAAUCAUAGAAUGGGCUUGGGUUGGAAGAGACCUUAAAGACAAUCUAGUUCCAACCCCCCUGCUGCUAUGGGCAGAGACACCUUCAACUAGAUCAAUGUAGUAGUUUGAAAACAAAUCAGUGGGAGGCAUCAAGUCAGAGUAACAAUUUAAUAGGGAAAUUUAAAAAACACGAAAGCAGAAAACACU